UCCAGUAUGGAGACAGGCAGGCACAGCAGACAUUAUACCAGACCUGCAGCAUUGCAUAAAAGACACUUAAGUUUUUCUGAUUCUCCAUGUCAGACAUAAUCAGUGUUCAUACUAAAGAUAGACUGAAUUAACCGGGCUGGUAUUUCCCAUUCAUAAAUAAUUGGCAGUUAUUACAAAUCAUGCAUUAUUUGUUCUCAGAAACCAAGUCACUAAGUCUUUAUUUUUCCAUCCAACAGUUGUAUUUUUGAUUAGCCUUUUCCUGUUUAUACAUACUUUAUGAAAUUAACCCAUAAAUUACAGCCCUACUUGAUUAUCAAAAUAGUUGAUUAAUUAAGUCAUCGAUUAAUAAUGGAAUUGAUUCAUUGUUGCAGCCCUACGAGUGACUAUUGACUUGUACUUGUACAUUGGCACCCUCUACAGCUAUUGUUUUAUUUUAUUUGCACAAAGAAGAAUUUACAUCUGCUAUGACAGGAAUAUGAAAGAUAUUAUGUUAAUUUCACUCCAGAAAGAAUUUAAUGAUUUAGGCACAGGGAGAGUUUGAUAUUGCUCAUUCCAAAUUGAUUACUAAAUGAACAAUUUUGAUCAUCUUAAAGUCAAAGUGAUAUCUAGUGUUCAUCCAUAGAUCUGAAAACUAAUCAGAAAACUAUUUGUCUUUACAGUUCCUAAGGACGUAUGUGUGUACAACAUGACGGUGUACAAGCCUGGUGAAAAGAUACCAACUCCAGAAACACCAGGGCCAACAACCACCACCACACAACCAGAAACAACCUCACCACCCGGACAAACAACCACAACAGCCCCAUCGGGAGGACAAACAACGACAACAG